rnacentral:rRNA from 1 species
GAUGAACGCUGGCGGCGUGCCUAAUACAUGCAAGUCGAGCGAACGGACGAGAAGCUUGCUUCUCUGAUGUUAGCGGCGGACGGGUGAGUAACACGUGGAUAACCUACCUAUAAGACUGGGAUAACUUCGGGAAACCGUAGCUAAUACCGGAUAAUAUUUUGAACCGCAUGGUUCAAAAGUGAAAGACGGUCUUGCUGUCACUUAUAGAUGGAUCCGCGCUGCAUUAGCUAGUUGGUAAGGUAACGGCUUACCAAGGCAACGAUGCAUAGCCGACCUGAGAGGGUGAUCGGCCACACUGGAACUGAGACACGGUCCAGACUCCUACGGGAGGCAGCAGUAGGGAAUCUUCCGCAAUGGGCGAAAGCCUGACGGAGCAACGCCGCGUGAGUGAUGAAGGUCUUCGGAUCGUAAAACUCUGUUAUUAGGGAAGAACAUAUGUGUAAGUAACUGUGCACAUCUUGACGGUACCUAAUCAGAAAGCCACGGCUAACUACGUGCCAGCAGCCGCGGUAAUACGUAGGUGGCAAGCGUUAUCCGGAAUUAUUGGGCGUAAAGCGCGCGUAGGCGGUUUUUUAAGUCUGAUGUGAAAGCCCACGGCUCAACCGUGGAGGGUCAUUGGAAACUGGAAAACUUGAGUGCAGAAGAGGAAAGUGGAAUUCCAUGUGUAGCGGUGAAAUGCGCAGAGAUAUGGAGGAACACCAGUGGCGAAGGCGACUUUCUGGUCUGUAACUGACGCUGAUGUGCGAAAGCGUGGGGAUCAAACAGGAUUAGAUACCCUGGUAGUCCACGCCGUAAACGAUGAGUGCUAAGUGUUAGGGGGUUUCCGCCCCUUAGUGCUGCAGCUAACGCAUUAAGCACUCCGCCUGGGGAGUACGACCGCAAGGUUGAAACUCAAAGGAAUUGACGGGGACCCGCACAAGCGGUGGAGCAUGUGGUUUAAUUCGAAGCAACGCGAAGAACCUUACCAAAUCUUGACAUCCUUUGACAACUCUAGAGAUAGAGCCUUCCCCUUCGGGGGACAAAGUGACAGGUGGUGCAUGGUUGUCGUCAGCUCGUGUCGUGAGAUGUUGGGUUAAGUCCCGCAACGAGCGCAACCCUUAAGCUUAGUUGCCAUCAUUAAGUUGGGCACUCUAAGUUGACAGCCGGUGACAAACCGGAGGAAGGUGGGGAUGACGUCAAAUCAUCAUGCCCCUUAUGAUUUGGGCUACACACGUGCUACAAUGGACAAUACAAAGGGCAGCGAAACCGCGAGGCCAAGCAAAUCCCAUAAAGUUGUUCUCAGUUCGGAUUGUAGUCUGCAACUCGACUACAUGAAGCUGGAAUCGCUAGUAAUCGUAGAUCAGCAUGCUACGGUGAAUACGUUCCCGGGUCU